AUGUAGAAUUUCUUCGGAAAGGAAGCUCCUGUGUCUGAGUGGCGGACGGGUGAGUAACGCGUGGGCAACCUGCCCCAUACCGGGGGACAACAGCUGGAAACGGCUGCUAAUACCGCAUACGUUUUCGGUGCCGCAUGGUGCCGAAAAGAAAACUCCGGUGGUAUGGGAUGGGCCCGCGUCUGAUUAGCUAGUUGGGAGGGUAACGGCCUACCAAGGCGACGAUCAGUAGCCGGCCUGAGAGGGCGACCGGCCACAUUGGGACUGAGACACGGCCCAGACUCCUGCGGGAGGCAGCAGUGGGGAAUAUUGCACAAUGGGGGAAACCCUGAUGCAGCGACGCCGCGUGAGCGAAGAAGUACCUCGGUAUGUAAAGCUCUAUCAGCAGGGAAGAAAGUGACAGUACCUGACUAAGAAGCCCCGGCUAACUACGUGCCAGCAGCCGCGGUAAUACGUAGGGGGCAAGCGUUAUCCGGAUUCACUGGGCGUAAAGGGAGCGCAGGCGGCGCGGCAAGUCUGAUGUGAAAGCCCGGGGCUCAACCCCGGGUCUGCAUUGGAAACUGUCGAGCUAGAGUGUCGGAGGGGUAAGCGGAAUUCCUAGUGUAGCGGUGAAAUGCGUAGAUAUUAGGAGGAACACCAGUGGCGAAGGCGGCUUACUGGACGAUGACUGACGCUGAGGCUCGAAAGCGUGGGGAGNCAACAGGAUUAGAUACCCUGGUAGUCCACGCNGUAAACGAUGAAUACUAGGUGUCGGCGGGCAGAGCCCGUCGGUGCCGCAGCAAACGCAAUAAGUAUACCGCCUGGGGAGU
rnacentral:rRNA from 1 species